AUUUUUUUUGUACAUAGUCAGUUUUAUGCUCACUUCCCCAACGCAAAAAUAAAUGUAUAUCAAAAGAUCGAAGAUUGCGACAUCACAACAGUAAUGGUCUUUAUUCGCGUUCAAUGUCCAUGUAAGUGAUUUCAAAUGAAAUAGCAGAAGCUCAAGGUGUUGGUACAAGUGUUGGAAUCGGAGCUGGAGUUAUUAUUUUUAUUUUAUUAAUUCUUGGAUUAGUUUACCUAAGACUACGUAAAGCAACACCAGUAAAAAAUACUGAAAAUGUUCAAGCAGCAGAAAGGAAAGAGGAUCAAAAUGCUGCUGUUAUGUCUUAUUCUAGUUUGAAUGAUAACACGAAUGGUCGAAUGUAUGAAAAUGUCCCAGAAGACGGCCUUUAUGAUAGUCCGUACAGCGGGACCGGAAGCACGUAUGGAUAUAGUGGACAAAAUGGGAGGUGAACUUACAAUAGAUCUGGCCAUUACGAAGUAGAACCACCUCCUAGAAACGGUAUCACUAUUAACGGUGUUACCGUUCGAUAAUUAAAUUUGUAAAAAAUAAAAUUUAUUUAAAUGAAAUAAUUAUUUUUAUGGAACAAAAAAAAAUAAAUAAAAAUUUUAAUUAUUUAUGAACCAUUACACCGAAAGAUUUAAAUAAAAAUAAGUGUAAAUAAUUUUAAUUUAAAAAAAAACUAAAGGACGUAAUUUAUUAGUUUUGAACAAACAAUAUUUUGAUGUUUUUCAUAAUUAUUUUUCGAUCUUUACGGUCGAAAUUUGUAUUAUUAUUGUAUAUAUAUAUAGUGUCUUCGUUAUUAUUUAGAUUUAUUAUUCAUAAAUUUGAUAUUAAUUACUGAUAAGAAAUAAAGUAAUAUUACAAAAUGAUGACUUGGCUUUUGUAUUUACAAACUUUGUAAAAUUAUAUUAUUCUUUUUCACUAUCCAUGAAAUGGAGAUAUAG